GGAAUCUUGUGCAAUGGACGAAAGUCUGACACAGCCACGCCGCGUGCGGGAAGAAGGCCUUCGGGUUGUAAACCGCUUUCAGCAGGAACGAAAAUGACGGUACCUGCAGAAGAAGGAGCGGCCAACUACGUGCCAGCAGCCGCGGUGACACGUAGGCUCCAAGCGUUGUCCGGAUUUAUUGGGCGUAAAGAGCUCGUAGGCGGUUCAGCAAGUCGGGUGUGAAAACUCUGGGCUCAACCCAGAGCCUGCACCCGAAACUGCUGUGACUAGAGUUCGGUAGGGGAGUGGGGAAUUCCUAGUGUAGCGGUGAAAUGCGCAGAUAUUAGGAGGAACACCGAUGGCGAAGGCACCACUCUGGGCCGAAACUGACGCUGAGGAGCGAAAGCGUGGGUAGCAAACAGGAUUAGAUACCCUGGUAGUCCACGCCGUAAACGAUGGGCACUAGGUGUGGGUCUCUAACCAACGAGAUCCGCGCCGUCGCUAACGCAUUAAGUGCCCCGCCUGGGGAGUACGGUCGCAAGACUAAAACUCAAAGGAAUUGACGG
rnacentral:rRNA from 1 species